GACGAACGCUGGCGGCGUGCUUAACACAUGCAAGUCGAACGCUGAAGCUCAGCUUUUGUUGGGUGGAUGAGUGGCGAACGGGUGAGUAACACGUGAGUAACCUGCCUCCUUCUUUGGGAUAACGCCCGGAAACGGGUGCUAAUACUGGAUAUUCACUGGUCUUCGCAUGGGGGCUGGUGGAAAGGGUUUUUCUGGUGGGGGAUGGGCUCGCGGCCUAUCAGCUUGUUGGUGGGGUGAUGGCCUACCAAGGCUUUGACGGGUAGCCGGCCUGAGAGGGUGACCGGUCACAUUGGGACUGAGAUACGGCCCAGACUCCUACGGGAGGCAGCAGUGGGGAAUAUUGCACAAUGGGCGCAAGCCUGAUGCAGCGACGCCGCGUGAGGGAUGGAGGCCUUCGGGUUGUGAACCUCUUUCGCUCAUGGUCAAGCCGCAACAAUGGUUGUGGUGAGGGUAGUGGGUAAAGAAGCGCCGGCUAACUACGUG
rnacentral:rRNA from 1 species